rnacentral:rRNA from 1 species
UACAGAGGGGGCAAGCGUUGUUCGGAAUUACUGGGCGUAAAGGGCGCGUAGGCGGCCUUCUAAGUCGAACGUGAAAUCCUCGGGCUCAACCCGGGAACUGCGUCCGAUACUGGAAGGCUUGAAUCCGGGAGAGGGAUGCGGAAUUCCAGGUGUAGCGGUGAAAUGCGUAGAUAUCUGGAGGAACACCGGUGGCGAAGGCGGCAUCCUGGACCGGCAUUGACGCUGAGGAGCGAAAGCCAGGGGAGCAAACGGG